AUGGAGGUCAUGGCCGUGUGCCACCUUGACACGUCAUUGUGGAGCCCGAAGAACCCGUUCUUCGAGCUGCACAACGUUAGACCAGGUGAUGUGGCCGUGUGCCACUUUCUCACUAAGCUGAGCAUUAUCUGGGUGACAGUCGAUGAGCAUGCCGACACACUGUAG
rnacentral:rRNA from 1 species